rnacentral:rRNA from 1 species
AUUGAACGCUGGCGGCAUGCCUUACACAUGCAAGUCGGACGGCAGCAUGAUCUAGCUUGCUAGAUUGAUGGCGAGUGGCGAACGGGUGAGUAAUACAUCGGAACGUGCCCUGUAGUGGGGGAUAACUAGUCGAAAGAUUAGCUAAUACCGCAUACGACCUGAGGGUGAAAGUGGGGGACCGCAAGGCCUCAUGCUAUAGGAGCGGCCGAUGUCUGAUUAGCUAGUUGGUGAGGUAAAGGCUCACCAAGGCGACGAUCAGUAGCUGGUCUGAGAGGACGAUCAGCCACACUGGGACUGAGACACGGCCCAGACUCCUACGGGAGGCAGCAGUGGGGAAUUUUGGACAAUGGGCGAAAGCCUGAUCCAGCAAUGCCGCGUGUGUGAAGAAGGCCUUCGGGUUGUAAAGCACUUUUGUCCGGAAAGAAAUGGCUCUGGUUAAUACCUGGGGUCGAUGACGGUACCGGAAGAAUAAGGACCGGCUAACUACGUG